rnacentral:rRNA from 1 species
AUUGAACGCUGGCGGCAGGCUUAACACAUGCAAGUCGAACGAGUGGCGGACGGGUGAGUAAUGCUUGGGAAUCUGGCUGAUGGAGGGGGAUAACUACUGGAAACUGUAGCUAAUACCGCAUACCAUCGGAUGAGCCCAAGUGGGAUUAGGUAGUUGGUGGGGUAAAGGCUCACCAAGGCGACGAUCUCUAGCUGGUCUGAGAGGAUGACCAGCCACACUGGGACUGAGACACGGCCCAGACGCCUACGGGAGGCAGCAGUGGGGAAUAUUGCGCAAUGGGGGCAACCCUGACGCAGCCAUGCCGCGUGUAUGAAGAAGGCCUUCGGGUUGUAAAGUACUUUCAGUCGGGAGGCGUUACCGACAGAAGAAGCACCGGCUAACUCCGUGCCAGCAGCCGCGGUAAUUC